rnacentral:rRNA from 1 species
AUUGAACGCUGGCGGCAGGCCUAACACAUGCAAGUCGAACGGUAGCACAGAGAGCUUGCUCUCGGGUGACGAGUGGCGGACGGGUGAGUAACGUCUGGGAAACUGCCCGAUGGAGGGGGAUAACUACUGGAAACGGUAGCUAAUACCGCAUAACGUCGCAAGACCAAAGUGGGGGACCUUCGGGCCUCACACCAUCGGAUGUGCCCAGAUGGGAUUAGCUGGUAGGUGGGGUAAUGGCUCACCUAGGCGACGAUCCCUAGCUGGUCUGAGAGGAUGACCAGCCACACUGGAACUGAGAAACGGUCCAGACUCCUACGGGAGGCAGCAGUGGGGAAUAUUGCACAAUGGGCGCAAGCCUGAUGCAGCCAUGCCGCGUGUAUGAAGAUGGCCUUCGGGUUGUAAAGUACUUUCAGCGGGGAGGAAGGCGGUGAAGUUAAUAGCUUCACCGAUUGACGUUACCCGCAGAAGAAGCACCGGCUAACUCCGUGCCAGCAGCCGCGGUAA